AGCGUUGUGUACCCGCAUGCUUGUGCUCGUGCAUGAAGUGUACCGUGCUGAAGCACACCUCUCUGAAGUGUGCCAAAGCCAAGGAAGUGUACCGUACCUGAGCACGAUACGGAGCGGUCACACUGGUCAAACGAACUGGACUUUAGGGUUGAAGCGUGCUUGGGCACGGUACGGAUGGCCAGUGCAGUGGGGAACUGACUCCCUUAUACAAGUUGCUCCUAUGGAAAAGACAAAUAAUUAUUUGCUUAUUCAUUUAUUUUCUAUCUACCUAUGUAUUCAUUUAUUUAAAAAGGUCUUUACCCUAACUAUACCGAACACUGCAUAAAGGCACACAACACUUCUGCUAAAAUAAUGUGAACUCUGUGUUGGACAAGAGCUACGCCUUUUUUUUUUUAACUGCUACCUCAUGUCUAUGUAUAUGUUGGUAAUGUGCAUGUUUUGAUCUUGUGUGGGUAAGUAUGUGUGUCUGUGUAUGACUUUUAACUCAAAUGUUUUCACAAAUGAUAAUAAUUACAGAAACAAUCAUGACAAAAAAUAUAUAAAUAAUAAUAACCUGA